rnacentral:tRNA from 1 species
UAGCUCAAGUGGUAGAGCGCAUGCUUAGCAUGCACGAGGUCCUGGGUUCAAUCCCCAG